GGGGGGGGGCAAGCGUUGUUCGGAAUUACUGGGCGUAAAGGGCGCGCAGGCGGGCGGGAAAGUCUCUCGUGAAAUCCCACGGGCUCAACCGUGGAACUGCGGGAGAUACUACUCGUCUUGAGUUCGGGAGAGGAGUGUGGAAUUCCCAGUGUAGCGGUGAAAUGCGUAGAUAUUGGGAGGAACACCGGUGGCGAAGGCGGCACUCUGGACCGAUACUGACGCUGAGGCGCGAAAGCUAGGGGAGCAAACGGGAUUAGAUACCCCGGUAGUCCUAGCUGUAAACGCUGAGCACUUGGUGUAGCGGGUAUCGACCCCUGCUGUGCCGAAGCUAACGCAUUAAGUGCUCCGCCUGGGGAGUACGGUCGCAAAGGCUG
rnacentral:rRNA from 1 species